GAUGUUGAGCGUGAAGGAUAACGUUGCGUCAGCAACGGCCCGAAGGGCGAGCGAAGCGAGUCAUCCUGCACGACCCACCA
rnacentral:sRNA from 1 species